rnacentral:rRNA from 1 species
AUUGAACGCUGGCGGAAUGCUUUACACAUGCAAGUCGAACGGCAGCACGGGGGCAACCCUGGUGGCGAGUGGCGAACGGGUGAGUAAUACAUCGGAACGUGCCCAGUCGUGGGGGAUAACGUAGCGAAAGUUACGCUAAUACCGCAUACGAUCUACGGAUGAAAGCGGGGGACCGUAAGGCCUCGCGCGAUUGGAGCGGCCGAUGUCAGAUUAGGUAGUUGGUGAGGUAAAGGCUCACCAAGCCGACGAUCUGUAGCUGGUCUGAGAGGACGACCAGCCACACUGGGACUGAGACACGGCCCAGCCUGCUACGGGAGGCAGCAGUGGGGAAGUUUGGAAAAUGGGCGCAGGCCUGAUCCAGCCAUUCCGCGUGCAGGACGAAGGCCUUCGGGUUGUAAACUGCUUUUGUACGGAACGAAAAGGCUCUGGUUAAUACCUGGGGCUCAUGACGGUACCGUAAGAAUAAGCACCGGCUAACUACGUGCCAGCAGCCGCCGUAA